rnacentral:pre_miRNA from 1 species
UUUCUACUCCCUUCGUCCGAAAAUACUUGUCAUCAAAAUGGAUAAAAAGAGAUGUAUCUAAAACUAAAAUACGUCUAGAUACAUUUCCUUUUAUCCAUUUUGAUGAGAAGUAUUUCCGGACGGAGGGAGUAUUUG